rnacentral:misc_RNA from 1 species
GAUGAAGAACGUAGCGAAAUGCGAUACUUGGUGUGAAUUGCAGAAUCCCGUGAACCAUCGAGUCUUUGAACGCAAGUUGCGCCCGAAGCCAUUAGGCCGAGGGCACGCCUGCCUGGGCGUCACACGUCGUUGCCCCCCCAUCUACUCCUUCGGGAUUGCGAGGGGCGGAUGAUGGCCUCCCGUGCGCCUCGUCGCGCGGUUGGCAUAAAUGCCAAGUCCUCGGCGACGCACGCCACGACAAUCGGUGGUUGCGAAACCUCGGUUGCCCGUCGUGUGCGGUCGUCGCGCAUCGAGGGCUCGAAAAAAUUGCCGGGCUCCGGCUCGGCUUUCAACGCGACCCCAGGUCAGGCGGGGUUACCCGCUGAAUUUAAGCAUAUCAAAAGCGAGGA